CCUACGGGAGGCAGCAGUGAGGAAUAUUGGUCAAUGGACGAGAGUCUGAACCAGCCAAGUAGCGUGAAUGAUGACUGCCCUAUGGGUUGUAAACUUCUUUUAUAUGGGAAUAAAACGUUCCACGUGUGGGAUUUUGUAUGUACCAUAUGAAUAAGGAUCGGCCAACUCCGUGCCAGCAGCCGCGGUAAUACGGAGGAUCCGAGCGUUAUCCGGAUUUAUUGGGUUUAAAGGGAGCGUAGGUGGAUUGUUAAGUCAGUUGUGAAAGUUUGCGGCUCAACCGUAAAAUUGCAGUUGAAACUGGCAGUCUUGAGUACAGUAGAGGUGGGCGGAAUUCGUGGUGUAGCGGUGAAAUGCUUAGAUAUCACGAAGAACUCCGAUUGCGAAGGCAGUUCACUGGACUGCAACUGACACUGAGGCUCGAAAGUGUGGGUAUCAAACAGGAUUAGAUACCCUGGUAGU
rnacentral:rRNA from 1 species